rnacentral:rRNA from 1 species
GAUAAACGCUGGCGGCGCACAUAAGACAUGCAAGUCGAACGGACUUAACUCAUUCUUUUAGAUUGAGAGUGGUUAGUGGCGGACUGGUGAGUAACACGUAAGCAACCUGCCUGUUAGAGGGGAAUAACAGCGAGAAAUCGUUGCUAAUACCGCAUAUGCCAUAAUAGUCACAUGACUAUAGUGGGAAAGGAGUAAUCCGCUAACAGAUGGGCUUGCGUCUGAUUAGAUAGUUGGUGGGGUAACGGCCUACCAAGUCGACGAUCAGUAGCCGGACUGAGAGGUUCAACGGCCACAUUGGGACUGAGAUACGGCCCAG